GGGGGAGUGGUGGAAUGGCAGACACGCAUGCUUCAGGUGCAUGUGCUCGCAAGGGCGUGGGGGUUCAAAUCCCCUCUCCCCCA
rnacentral:tRNA from 3 species